rnacentral:lncRNA from 1 species
UAUAUACCAACAUGCAAUUUUUUUCAUAUCAUACAAAUUAAGCAUUAAAAUUCUAUAAAAUUUAUAUUUAUAGAUUUUAAUACAAUAAUCUAUCUUUUUCAAAAGAUUUAAGCCAAAAUUUCAUCUAAAAACUCAAGCUAUGGUUCCAAUCAUUGCUAUGAAUAAAAUCACUUACUUACUGCCUUUGACUUGAAUGCACUAACUUUAACUCUCUAUAACUUCUUUAUCCAAAUUCCAAAUUCAUCAAAUAGUAUAUAAAAAGUGUAGUCAAAUAAGUGUUCUCUCCAAUCCUAGUUGCCGAUCUUUCAUUGCUCUUAGUAAACCUAUGUUAUGCCCCAAAGAGUG